rnacentral:lncRNA from 1 species
CACUGUGCUUAAAAAGGGAUUGAACAGCUGUCGUCAGGAUCCUCGAACUGUUGGCCUGAUCUUGAACUGAGUGUGGGUGGGACUUCUCCCACGACCUCUGACACCUCGACCUCUGACAACACAAAAUUCCCUAGAGUGAUUUAUCUCACAAAUAGCAAAGUAGAGAGAAAGGCAAUGAAAAUUACUGACUUCGGUAUUUGUCUAGAUUUCUGACUCUACGAUGGGUAAAAGCAGUGUGGAUUUGUCCAGUCAGCCACGGUUCGUGAAGCGCAGGGGCCUGGCCAGCAGUCCGGGAACGUCUACCACCCCACGCCCAGGACGUCAUCCCCCACCUGGACCCACGCUGCCCCUUCCUGCCCUUGCGAGAGUCAAAACUCCUGGGGCAAGUCCGACGAUCUCCCGUCCAGCAAGUAUCAUUUCCUGCAAGCACAAGGAUGACAAUGACGAGUAUAAACCACCGCUGAGCCAGACGGCACAGAUGGACGAGCAGGCGCACUGCAGGGCUGCGCGGGCGUCGGCACAGCGUGGAGAGCAGUGUGAGCACCAGGACCCCGAGCUCAGACUUGCAAGUGGAAGGACAGUCGGCCCUGUAAGGAAGAGGUCCUCUCCCCUUGAUGGAAGGAGUGCAGCCUCUGUCCCACCGCUCUGGUGCCAGAGCUGCAGGCUGUUCUCAGGGACAGUGAGGGGAGGGCAUCCACAGGGCAUGAGGGAACAGUGUGGGGAGGGCGUCCACAGGGCGUCAGGGGACAGUGAGGGGAGGGCGUCCACAGGGCAUGAGGGAACAGUGUGGGGAGGGCGUCCACAGGGCGUCAGGUGA